rnacentral:rRNA from 1 species
UAGAGUUUGAUCCUGGCUCAGAUUGAACGCUAGCGGAAUGCCUUACACAUGCAAGUCGAACGGCAGCACGGACUUCGGUCUGGUGGCGAGUGGCGAACGGGUGAGUAAUGUAUCGGAACGUGCCCAGUAGCGGGGGAUAACUACGCGAAAGCGUGNCUAAUACCGCAUACGCCCUACGGNGGAAAGGGGGGGAUCGCAAGACCUCUCACUAUUGGAGCGGCCGAUAUCGGAUUAGCUAGUUGGUGGGGUAAAGGCUCACCAAGGCGACGAUCCGUAGCUGGNUUGAGAGGACGACCAGCCACACUGGGACUGAGACACGGCCCAGAUCCUACGGGACGCAGCA